rnacentral:rRNA from 1 species
CAGUCGCCGCGGGAAUACAGAGGGUGCGAGCGUUAAUCGGAUUUACUGGGCGUAAAGCGUGCGUAGGCGGCUUCUUAAGUCGGAUGUGAAAUCCCUGAGCUUAACUUAGGAAUUGCAUUCGAUACUGGGAAGCUAGAGUAUGGGAGAGGAUGGUAGAAUUCCAGGUGUAGCGGUGAAAUGCGUAGAGAUCUGGAGGAAUACCGAUGGCGAAGGCGGCCCCCUGGACAAAGACUGACGCUCAGGUGCGAAAGCGUGGGGAGCAAACAGGAUUAGAUACCCCCGUAGUCCCUGUCUCUUAUAC